AUUGAACGCUGGCGACAGGCUUAACACAUGCAAGUCGAGCGGAGAUGAGGUGCUUGCACCUUAUCUUAGCGGCGGACGGGUGAGUAAUGCUUAGGAAUCUGCCUAUUAGUGGGGGACAACAUUCCGAAAGGGAUGCUAAUACCGCAUACGUCCUACGGGAGAAAGCAGGGGAUCAUUUGACCUUGCGCUAAUAGAUGAGCCUAAGUCGGAUUAGCUAGUUGGUGGGGUAAAGGCCUACCAAGGCGACGAUCUGUAGCGGGUCUGAGAGGAUGAUCCGCCACACUGGGACUGAGACACGGCCCAGACUCCUACGGGAGGCAGCAGUGGGGAAUAUUGGACAAUGGGGGGAACCCUGAUCCAGCCAUGCCGCGUGUGUGAAGAAGGCCUUUUGGUUGUAAAGCACUUUAAGCGAGGAGGAGGCUCUCUUGGUUAAUACCUGAGAAGAGUGGACGUUACUCGCAGAAUAAGCACCGGCUAACUCUGUGCCAGCCGCCGCAGUAAGAC
rnacentral:rRNA from 1 species